UGGCUCAGGACGAACGCUGGCGGCGUGCCUAAUACAUGCAAGUCGAGCGGAUGACGAGGAGCUUGCUCCUCUGAUUCAGCGGCGGACGGGUGAGUAACACGUGGGCAACCUGCCUGCAAGAUCGGGAUAACUCCGGGAAACCGGGGCUAAUACCGGAUGGUUCCUUCCUCCGCAUGGAGGAAGGCGGAAAGACGGUUUCGGCUGUCACUUGCAGAUGGGCCCGCGGCGCAUUAGCUAGUUGGUGGGGUAAUGGCCCACCAAGGCGACGAUGCGUAGCCGACCUGAGAGGGUGAUCGGCCACACUGGGACUGAGACACGGCCCAGACUCCUACGGGAGGCAGCAGUAGGGAAUCUUCCGCAAUGGACGAAAGUCUGACGGAGCAACGCCGCGUGAGCGAAGAAGGCCUUCGGGUCGUAAAGCUCUGUUGUAAGGGAAGAACAAGCAUCGGUUAACUGCCGGUGCCCUGACGG
rnacentral:rRNA from 1 species